ACUCCUACGGGAGGCAGCAGUGGGGAAUCUUCCGCAAUGGGCGAAAGCCUGACGGAGCAACGCCGCGUGAGUGAUGACGGCCUUCGGGUUGUAAAACUCUGUGAUCCGGGACGAAAAGGCAGAGUGCGAAGAACAGACUGCGUGACGGUACCGAAA
rnacentral:rRNA from 1 species